rnacentral:tRNA from 1 species
UCCCUGGAGGACUAGUGGUUAGGCCUCGGCUCUCUCACCGCCCUGGCCCGGGUUCGAUUCUCAGCCAGAGAA